CAGUCGCCGCGGUAAUACGAAGGGGGCUAGCGUUGUUCGGAAUCACUGGGCGUAAAGGGUGCGUAGGCGGAUCCUUAAGUCAGGGGUGAAAUCCCGAGGCUCAACCUCGGAACUGCCUUUGAUACUGGGGAUCUUGAGUCCGGAAGAGGUGAGUGGAACUGCGAGUGUAGAGGUGAAAUUCGUAGAUAUUCGCAAGAACACCGGUGGCGAAGGCGGCUCACUGGUCCGGAACUAACGCUGAGGCACGACAGCGUGGGGAGCAAACAGGAUUAGAUACCCCCGUAGUCCCUGUCUCUUAUAC
rnacentral:rRNA from 1 species